AACCGCCGUGUACGGAACCGUACGCACGGUGGUGUGAGAGGUCGGAUAAUCAACUAAUGAUUAUCCUCCUACUCGAU
rfam:Paraliobacillus sp. PM-2 genome assembly, contig: CONTIG000001